rnacentral:rRNA from 1 species
GACGUUUAGCUGCAGAAGAAGCACCGGCUAACUCCGUGCCAGCAGCCGCGGUAAUACGGAGGGUGCGAGCGUUAAUCGGAAUUACUGGGCGUAAAGCGCAUGCAGGUGGUUUGUUAAGUCAGAUGUGAAAGCCCGGGGCUCAACCUCGGAAUUGCAUUUGAAACUGGCAAACUAGAGUACUGUAGAGGGGGUAGAAUUUCAGGUGUAGCGGUGAAAUGCGUAGAGAUCUGAAGGAAUACCGGUGGCGAAGGCGGCCCCCUGGACAGAUACUGACACUCAGAUGCGAAAGCGUGGGGAGCAAACAGGAUUAGAUACCCUCGGUAG